UUUACUCCCCCAGCCAGCCUACCCAGGACAGAAGUGAAGAACAGAAAUGGGAUCUUUGAGGGGAAGGUUGCAUGGCCGUGGGAUGUGUUGCCUCUGCUCUCAGGCUGGGAGAAUUGGAGGAAUUCUAACUCCAGGCCUGUUAGAGCUGAGACUUACUAGCCAGAACUUAUCAGCAGUAAACGACAUACAAUCACAUUGAAUUAUUUCUGUCCAGGUGUGAGACGGGGCAAUUUCAGCUGCCGGAAGAGAUUUCCCCUGAACUGGAAGAACAAGUCAGAGGUUUCUCCCAGAGAACGAUUGCUCUGUCGGAGACUCUGAGGGAGUUCAAAGACACUCUGCCCUCUGCACUGGAGAGAGCAAGAGGAAAAUCCCUGGGAGCUUCCAGACAAGGGUUUCCAGUCUCUGAAACUGAUGAGAUCUCCUGGGUGGAGCGAGAGGAGGAGUUGCAGGUCCCAGAUCCUCCGAGCUGCAAGGAAGGGAAGAUCAUCAGCAACGCCCACACAGGUGACGGGACACUGACUGAGAACCAUGAAAAGAGUCUUCAGCAUGAAGGACUGGAGCAAGUGUCUCUAC